rnacentral:lncRNA from 1 species
UGAAACAAAAACACACUUUAUGCCCUUAAUCGUGCAUUUCCAAAUUAAACACAUAUUUUAGUAAAUUUCGAAAUUUACCACGAUCUCCCAUGAAUCCGAGCUUGCAGCUUGUUAUGGAGCUUCAACAAAGUUGCUGCUACUUUUGUCUAGCUUCCGAAUUCCUUUCUCUUGCCUCAGUUCAAGGAUCGGCUUGCUUCAAACUUCACUGUACACACACACGGGAGACAAACGGGAGAGAGAGAGAUGCACUGCACUCAUGCCACAGAUUUCUUGAACAGUUAACUUCCAAUGGGCUGAAGUUACUUAAAUACAGUGGUUGAGCGCAGGGACCCCUCAUGUGUUAGUACAAAAUUGCCCAUCCCAUUAUGGGCGAAAAUAACACAAUUAAGGAUAUACUUGUCCAUAAUAUACUACUGUACAGGGUAUGUCAAAAUUGCUCCAUAAUAUUUGACAAUAGUCACGUAUUAAUUCGGUAAAAUAUAGAAAACAAUUAGAAUGAUUUAUGUCAGUCCACAUAAUGUGAUAAAUAAAUCUAACAAUCUCCAACUUGGACGACAGAAAUCACUCUAAUGAUAAAUUUAAAAUAAAAUAAUAUUUUGAAAACAACCGAAUUAAUCAAUAUGUGACUAUAACAAAAGGUCAAAUACAAGCAAUCACCCAGAACAUAAACAAGUCCAAAAUGUGCCAUAAAUAUCAAAUCAUAUGUGCACCGACAGGAUGCUCCAUAUAACAAGACACUUAUAAACACGUGACCAUGUAGUAGUAUACAAGUAUAAUUAUGGAAAUAACAUGACAAUGUGAUCAACAUGCUCAUUUCCAUAAAGUCCAGAUGUCUAGCAAAAUGAGACGAAAACAAUAUGUCUCCUAGACCAUCGCUUCUUUAUAACCAUAAUGAGACUAUAGCAAAAUGUCUCGAGAAGCGAGCUUCCUUUUUAAUCAUAAUGAGACUAAAUCAAAAUGUCUCAAGAAAGCACACUGAAGCUAAAUCAUAACGCUUCAGUCUUUAAUGUCCAUAUUGAGACUGAGCAAAAUGUCUCGGACCAUCGUAUCCUCAUUCUAUACAUAAUGCCAUACGCAGCCAAAUGUGUACACAAUAUAUGGCAUAUCAAUAUCACAUAACAACAUGCAUGCAUGAUAACAAAAUGAGUAAUACAUAAGCUCAUUUAAGUUGCAACUCAUAAUACAAACCAGAACUCCCACUGACUCAGCAUAUAUAAGUGGAUUCAAAUAAUCCCAUAUGCGUUACAUGCUCCCUAAAUACUUUUGGAGCUAAAGCUUUAGUAAGUGGAUCGGCUAACAUGAGUUCUGUAGGGAUAUACUCUACUGAUACACAAGAUAGAGCAAUUUUCUCUCUCACAAACAAGUAUUUAAUAUCAAUGUGCUUGGAACGUGAGGAACUCCCUGUGUUGUGAGAAAAAGAAACAGCUGCAGAAUUAUCACAGUAUAUCUUUAGUGGCCUCGGAACGGCCAAUAUACAAUCUAGCCCUGUGAUAAAAUUCUGCAUCCAUAAAGCAUGACAUGUAGCCUCAAAACAGGCUACAUAUUCUGCUUCCAUUGUUGAAGAAGCUAUAAGUGUCUGCUUGACACUUUUCCAUGAUAUAGCUCCUCCUGCCAUCAUAAAGAUGUAACCAGAUGUGGAUUUCUUGUCUUCCAAGCACCCUGCGAAAUCAGCAUCAGAAUAUCCAACUAUAUUCAAAUGGUCAGAUUGCUGAUAUGUCAAUACAAAAUCUUUAGUGGCUCGCAAAUAUCUGAGUACUUUCUUCGCAGCCUUCCAGUGUUCAAAUCCAGGAUUGCUCAGGUAUCUUCCAAGUACUCCCACUGGAAAAGCAAUAUCAGGGCGAGUACAGACUUGAGCAUACAUCAAGCUACCCACAACGGAUGCAUACGGGACUGUUUGCAUUCUAGCUUUGUCUACAUCAUUAUCGGGACAUUGAGACUUCGAAAUUUUGUCACCUUUCGAAAUUGGAGCUUUCCCAGGAGCACAAGACUGCAAAUUGAACCUUUUCAAAAUGCGAUCAAUGUAAGUCUUUUGAGACAAACCUAGAAUUCCUCUAGAUCUAUCACGAAGAAUCUCUAUCCCUAAUACAUAAUGGGCUUCACCAAGAUCCUUCAUAUCAAAGCUGCAUGACAACAUUUGCUUUGUCUCAAGUAACAAAUUAGUGUCAUUAGCAGCGAGCAAGAUAUCAUCCACAUAAAGCACCAAAAUGAUAUACUUGCUCCCACUGACUCUCAAGUAUAUACACUGAUCAACGGCAUAUUCUCCUGGAACCCAUAAGAGGUGACAAUAUCGUGAAAUUUCAAAUACCACUGUCUGGAUGCCUGUUUAAGUCCAUAAAUGGACCUUUUAAGUUUACACACCAUGUUUUCUCUACCAGACUCAACAAAACCAUCAGGUUGCACCAUGUAUACAUCUUCAGACAAGCUCCCAUUGAGAAAAGUUGUCUUCACAUCCAUCUGAUGCAAUUCUAAAUUGAAAUGAGCUACCAAUGCCAUGAUAAUACGAAAAGAGUCUUUGGUAGAAACAGGAGAGUAGGUUUCAGUGUAAUCAAUGCCUUCUCUUUGACUGAAACCCUUAGCCACAAGCCUGGCCUUAUACCUCUCUACCUGACCUCUGGCAUCUCUUUUGGUUUUGAAAACCCAUUUGCAACCAAUUGGUCUGCAUCCAUCUGGUAACUCAACUAAAUCCCAAACCCCAUUAUGAUACAUAGAUGCCAUCUCAUCAUGCAUCGCAUGUAUCCAAGAUGAUGAUUCUGAACAAUUGAUGGCCUCUUGAAAGGUAAUAGGAUCAGAUGAAGAGUCAGCAUCAAAAUCAUGCUCCUGCAAGUAAACAACAUAAUCAUCAGAAAUUGCAGGUCUCCUGAUCCUCUCUAAUCUCCUCAAUGGCACAUCAGUACCAUCAUCCUCUACAAUCAUAGGCUCCAUAUUAUGAUGAAGUUCAGGAUCAACAGAAGAAUCAUCAAUAUGUGGUAAUCCCAUCGCAGAAGUCGGAAAAGAUGGAAUAGGCAAAACCACACGUUCUUCUCUCAAUGUCAGACUGCGAGGCUCAGAACUCCCACCAUUGUGAUCAUCCUCAAAAUAAAUGGCACGAUCAGACUCAAUGAUUCUAGUAGUGUGGGAAGGACAAUAAAAUCUAGAACCCCUUGAGCCGAUACAAUAGCCAAUAAAAUGACCACUAAUUGUUUUCGGAUCAAGUUUCCUUGAUUGUGGAUUAUAGGGCCUCACUUCUGCUCUGCAUCCCCAGACAUGAAAAUGACGAAGACUCGGUCUCUUUCCUGACCACAACUCAUAAGGAGUUUUGGGCACCGAUUUACUAGGUACCUGAUUCAAAAUGUAAGCUGCAGUUCUUAAGGCUUCACCCCACAGAAAAUCUGGUAAGGUAGAGUUACUCAGCAUACACCGCACCAUGUCAAGAAGGGUACGAUUUCUCCUUUCUGCAAUUCCAUUCUGUUCAGGAGUCCCGGGCAUUGUAUACUGGGCUUCUAUUCCACAUUCCUGAUUAAAGCUCUCAGAAGUGGAACCAGAAGUGGUAGAAGAAGUACCACGUGAAGUUUUCUUGCCAAACUUUUUCUUCUUGAAAAACUUAUUGUUGCCCUUUGAAGAGCCUUUCUUCACACUCCCACUCUCUUGAGUAGUGGCCACCAUGACAGUGUGAGAUUUCCCCUUCUACAUGACCAUAACGAGAAAAGUCAUCGAUGAACGUGAUGAAGUACUUAUAACCUCCAAUGGCAAUAGGAGUAAAUGGCCCAAUUGUGGUGGAAGAGAUUCAAGGAUUUGGAAGACCAGGUAGUCAUCAGGCAGAUUGACAUCCAUGUCCUUUAACUUCUUAUGGUAACUGGUCAUCUUAAGGAUGUGCUCUCUCACUCUAGAAACACCAUCAUACUGAGUGUUAGCAAGCAGCCUCAGAUAGUUACCCUUUUCUGCCUUAUCUACCUUCUUAAAAGUCCUUCCAACAGCUGCCAAGUAAUCUUUGGCCUUAUCACAUGCAUGGAUGCUAUCUCGAGUUGUCCUAUCAAUGGUGUAUUUCAUUGUAUCCAGACAGUGUCUAUUGGAUUCAUCCCAAGCUGCCCACUCUGCUUUUUCAGCAGCAGUGCUCUUAUCUGUGGGCUUGGCUGGUUCAUCAACUCUUAAUGCCAAGUCUCUAUUCAGUGUAGACAAAUAAAACAAAAUGGACUCACGCCAGUCCUCAAAAUUUGUCCCAGUUAAAUUCUUGAGGGAGGCUACUUGGAGAAAGGAGAGAAUAUCUAGAGCUGAGGAAGCAAUAACAAAAGAAUUAUCAAGCAUGCAAAAAUUAAAAUCAUGCUAUAAUCAAUUGCUCCUCAUUCUAAGUUUCUCCAAUAGCAAUACAAUAUGUUAGGCAUCCUUUAGCAAUAUAGGAGUGCACUAACCUAAAGAUAAAGCAGACAAGUUGAAUAUAACACCAACAUUGACCUAUUACCGACAGGGUAAUCAAGCCACUCAGUAGAAAAUACUCAACAAACCUCUUUAUCUUCCCAAGCAUCCUACCAAGUAGUGAUUUGCCGACAGGGCAGUAUCAUCACCCGUAUGGAUCUUGGUCAAAACAAUAAUAAUCCAUCACAUAAUCCAUAAUUCAUAAUUAUAAAUGGACAACCAAUUGCAAAACACCAAAUAAUUUAUCAUGAUUGGUCCUACGAUAAGCAGAUACACAAUCACUCUAAAUUGUAGUUUUGCAUCAUAUAUAUAUUUCGUAUAUUAACAAAAUUGUGGCUAAAUAAAUUUUGUCAAAUGAAAUUAACAAGAUAUUAAAUCAAAUAAAAUAUCUACAUGCCUCAAUAAAAUAUAUGAAUAUUAUGCCCAUACAAUUCAACAAUGAUGGAUUAUUCUUAAAUUUCAAAUUCUGAAAAAAUCGCCAAAAUUUAAAGGAUUUUGGACUAAACUGCAGAAUUUUCAGAAUUCUGCUUACUGUUUUAAAUAGUAAAACUUUUGGCCCAAACUGUAAAUAAAAUAAAAUAAAAUAUUGAGCCAUAAUAUAAUUUACCAAAAUUUAAGGGACCAACUGAUCUUUUACAAAGUUGACCCUCGGUCAAGGACCAUUUCGAAAAUUUUGCAAAGAUUUUGGGCCAUAGUGACAAUUCACAAAAUUUAGGGAUCCAAAUGAAAUUGUCCCAUCAUCUUCAACCUCGGGCUGUUGCUACAGUAUUGUACAGUACAUUUACAGCAUCCACAUCCAUACCAACCCGAUUUUGGCCACCAAAAAACACGAAAAAAUUAUAUCUUUGCUCCAAAAUCAUCACUCAUGCAUUAUUUAACAACCGUUUGAGGAAAUAUGUCCAAAUUCGAAGAAUUCGAAAAAUCCGAAAAUAAUAAAAAAAUUCCAUGAGUGAGAUUUCUUCAACAAAACAACUAUGGUUUACAAGGAAACGCAUAACCAUGGGCUCUGAUACCAAUUGAUGAAACAAAAACACACUUUAUGCCCUUAAUCGUGCAUUUCCAAAUUAAACACAUAUUUUAGUAAAUUUCGAAAUUUACCACGAUCUCCCAUGAAUCCGAGCUUGCAGCUUGUUAUGGAGCUUCAACAAAGUUGCUGCUACUUUUGUCUAGCUUCCGAAUUCCUUUCUCUUGCCUCAGUUCAAGGAUCGGCUUGCUUCAAACUUCACUGUACACACACACGGGAGACAAACGGGAGAGAGAGAGA